GGAUUGCCCGAGGUGGGUGGAUUGCCUGAGGUUAGGAGUUCAAGACCAGCCUGGCCAACCUGGUGAAACCCUGUCUCUUCUGAAAAUACAAAAAUUAGCUGGGUGUAGCGAUGGAUGCCUGUAAUCCCAGUGACUCAGGAGGCUGAGGCAGAGGAAUCACUUGAACCCAGGAGGCAGAGGUUGCAGUGAACCGAGAUCGAGCCAUUGCACUCCAGCCUGAAUGACAGAGCGAGACUCCGCCUCAAAAAAAAGAAAAACAAAGAGAAGAGGAUAAAUAUCACAAUGUCCCCCUGAGGACAGCCUGAGUUUAAAAUCUCUACCACCAAGUGAGGAAGACAAUGACGAUGCCCAGAUUUUACCAUCACCUGUGCAGGGUUCUUCUGAGGACAACUUGAGUUUAUUAAGCCUACCACGAAGUGAAGGUGAUUAUUUG
rnacentral:lncRNA from 10 species